GGGAACUCAUUACAUUCCAAUCCUGACUAAGGAGCUUUACUUCAGGAGUGCAUAUCCAGACAGGCUACUCAGGCUCCAGGUUCGCUAGGCAAUAGCUGUGCUUGCAACUUUAACCAGAAGCCAAAAGCCUGCAUCAGCUUCCCUUUGGCUUUUGCCUCCCUGUGCUACCCUGUGGUGUUUGACGCUUCAGAUCCCUCAGCAACCCAGCGGUCAUGCUGAAAUGAAGACCAUUAUAGAAAACCACAACUGGACACAUUGUGGAGAUCAGUGAAUCAUGAGGAGCCCAGUCCCAACAGAUAAAGUGACAUCACAGCUUCUGCAUCUGCUCAGAGAAUACUGAGGAAGAGGGCUUGGAGUGAUUGUAAGAGCCAGAAUACCAGCAAGUGUGGUAUACAGUCUCUUGUGGUGAUAUUUUGUCCU